UACGUAGGAGGCAAGCGUUAUCCGGAUUUACUGGGUGUAAAGGGAGCGUAGACGGCACGGCAAGCCAGAUGUGAAAGCCCGGGGCUCAACCCCGGGACUGCAUUUGGAACUGCUGAGCUAGAGUGUCGGAGAGGCAAGUGGAAUUCCUAGUGUAGCGGUGAAAUGCGUAGAUAUUAGGAGGAACACCAGUGGCGAAGGCGGCUUGCUGGACGAUGACUGACGUUGAGGCUCGAAAGCGUGGGGAGCAAACAGG
rnacentral:rRNA from 1 species